UUUCUGUCUUAUUCUGUUGAUUUUUCUAGCAUCGUGUUCAUCAAAAAUCGGAGUCAGAGAUGUUGCCGAAGUCCGAGAUAAGCCCUGGUCCUCUUCGUUUCCUUUUUUUUGCCUUCUUUCCAUUGCUUUAGGCACCGCUACCGGCCAUCGACUUCAUCGAAAAUCUAUCAUAAAAAGAAUCCUUCAUUUUUACUAUUAUUUUCCUUGUUCCUCCUUUCUCCGGCUAUCUCCACUACUAGCAAUCAUUGUCGAGGCUUUUGGCCUCUCCCCUGCAUUGGUCUUUGACUCAUGUUGGAUCCCCAAUGUUUGGCAAACAGGCUGAGACCCAA
rnacentral:lncRNA from 1 species